rnacentral:rRNA from 1 species
GUAGGGAAUAUUGGGCAAUGGAUGCAAGUCUGACCCAGCCAUCCCGCGUGUCGGAAGAAGGCCCUCAGGGUUGUAAACGGCUUUUGACGGUGAAGAAUCGACAGGAUGCGUCCUGUUUUGACGGUAGCCGUUGAAUAAGCACCGGCUAACUCCGUGCCAGCAGCCGCGGUAAUACGGAGGGUGCGAGCGUUGUCCGGAUUUAUUGGGUUUAAAGGGUGCGUAGGCUGGAAGGUCAGUCAGCGGUGAAAAGCUGUCGCUUAACGAUAGUCUUGCCGCAGAUACUUCCUUUCUUGGAUGAGGAGGAGGCCACUGGAACGGAUGGUGUAGCGGUGAAAUGCAUAGAUAUCAUCCAGAACACCGAUUGCGAAGGCAGGUGGCUGUACCUUAAUCGACGCUGAUGCACGAAAGCAUGGGGAGCAAACAGGAUUAGAUACCCCUGUAGUCC